GAAAAACGAGCUGGCAAAGAUUUGUUUCUGAGCCCGUUCCAGCCUGGCCAGAUGUUGGUCCCUGGCGACUAGCCUGGACAGAAAACAAACUUUGUGCCACAUUUAGUGGGAGACUGUGGUUCCUGCCUGAGAGCCUGGGUCUGGAACGGUGGCUUGCUCUGGGGGAAGCCAGUGCCAUGGCGUGAGACAGCCCUGCAGAGACACCUACAUAAAGAAGCUUGGAAG